rnacentral:pre_miRNA from 1 species
AAAAAGGCAAAUCCUGAGUUUCCGUGUCCAACUUUGACUAUCCGUCUUAUAUGAAAUUUUUUUUAUAAUUCGUAUUUUCAUUGUUGUUAGAUGAUAAAAUAUGAUUAAUAUUUUAUGCGUGACUUGUCUUUUAAAUUUUUUUCAUAAUUUUUUCAAAUAAGACGGACGGUCAAACGUUGGACAUGGAAACCAGAGUUUGUCUUUUUU